rnacentral:rRNA from 1 species
AUUGAACGCUGGCGGCAGGCCUAACACAUGCAAGUCGAAUGGUAACAGGAAACAGCUUGCUGUUUCGCUGACGAGUGGCGGACGGGUGAGUAAUGUCUGGGAAACUGCCUGAUGGAGGGGGAUAACUACUGGAAACGGUAGCUAAUACCGCAUAACGUCGCAAGACCAAAGAGGGGGACCUUCGGGCCUCUUGCCAUCAGAUGUGCCCAGAUGGGAUUAGCUAGUAGGUGGGGUAACGGCUCACCUAGGCGACGAUCCCUAGCUGGUCUGAGAGGAUGACCAGCCACACUGGAACUGAGACACGGUCCAGCCUCCUACGGGAGGCAGCAGGGGGGAAUAUUGCACAAUGGGCGCAAGCCUGAUGCAGCCAUGCCGCGUGUAUGAAGAAGGCCUUCGGGUUGUAAAGUACUUUCAGCGGGGAGGAAGGGAGUAAAGUUAAUACCUUUGCUCAUUGACGUUACCCGCAGAAGAAGCACCGGCUAACUCC